UACAGAGGGUGCAAGCGUUGUUCGGAAUUAUUGGGCGUAAAGCGCGUGUAGGCGGCUUUGCAAGUCGGGUGUGAAAGCCCUCAGCUCAACUGAGGAAGUGCGCUCGAAACUGCAGAGCUUGAGUACCGGAGAGGGUGGCGGAAUUCCCCAAGUAGAGGUGAAAUUCGUAGAUAUCGGGAGGAACACCAGUGGCGAAGGCGGCGAUCGUGGGAAGAUACUGACGCUGAGGUGCGAAAGC
rnacentral:rRNA from 1 species